GGGGGCGUAAAGGUUUCGACGUGGGUUUGGCACUUGGGGCUGCGUGUCGUGUUACUCUGGGUCACGUAAAAACUGGGGAACUUAUAAAACAAACGCAGACGAUAAUUACGCGUUAGCAGCCUAAUGCUGCUCGUCCCUCUUAGCCCUCCUGCCGGCUAAGACUGGACGUCACUAUGCAGGGAACUACUUUAUGGGUGUCUCGACUUAAAGUGGAACAACUGGGGCUGGUCUCAUAUAUAGAUUGCCGCUUAUCUGUAUGUGGGGCGAGAUUUAAUUAAGCUGGCUACACACGUAGACGCAACGAGGAAAAGACUUACGGACAGGGGUUCGACUCCCCUCGUCUCCACCA
rnacentral:tmRNA from 1 species